AAAUUAUUACAGUUCUUUUCCAAUUUUGUCCAGCAGGUUUUCUGAUUUUGCUCGGAAAACCCAU
ensembl:snRNA Gm27521 U7 small nuclear RNA